GCCUGUGGUCCGGGCGUGGCGCCCUACUGCGCAAGGGCGCGGAGGCUUCUCACCCGCCAACCCCGCGGCUGCGAGUGAGGAUUCCUGGCCCGCGCGGGCGAGCUUCUUUGGAGGCGCUAGAAAGCCCUUGACUAGCUGCGGCCUGGGCACCGCGAGGAUGGCCGCCAGGGGGCGGUGAGGCCGCCGCGACUUGAGCGGAACUUUCCGCGGAGGCCUCUGCACAGCUAACCCUUAGCUACGCUGUGUGCAGUGGUAAUGACGGAAUCUCAGGAGACCUGCCUGCCUGCGGAAACUCACAUCAGAAUGUGGUGACUUUGGAAGGCAGUACGAAUAUGCAGUCCAUGUCAGGACGAAGACCACUGGGAACUUGACCUUGUGUGGGAUGUGUGGAGAAGAGUGCAUUGAGCAUUUACCCUGGAAGACAGUGGAGGACCCAGAUGAGCCUCCCUGGAAAUAUUCACCCACGCCGACUCUGACAUGACCCAAAGCAUCCAGUUCAGCAGUGUCCACUUCAUGUUAACCCUGCACUUUACCAUCUAGA